GUAGGAGGCAAGCGUUAUCCGGAUUUAUUGGGCAUAAAGAGGGCGUAGGCGGGCCUUUUAAGUCGGAUGUGAAAUCUCCCGGGCUCAACUGGGAGGGACCAUUCGAUACUGUUAGGCUUGAGGGCAGCAGAGGGAGAUGGAAUUCCCGGUGUAGUGGUGAAAUGCGUAGAUAUCGGGAGGAACACCAGUGGCGAAGGCGAUCUCCUGGGCUGUUCCUGACACUGAGGCGCGAAAGCGUGGGGAGCGAACAGGAUUAGAUACCCCGGUAGUCCUAGCCGUAAACGAUGGGCACUAGAUGUUUCCGCUUCUAGCGGGGGUGUCGAAGCUAACGCAUUAAGUGCCCCGCCUGGGGAGCACGGUCGCAAGGCUG
rnacentral:rRNA from 1 species